UACGUAGGGUGCGAGCGUUAAUCGGAAUUACUGGGCGUAAAGAGCUCGUAGGCGGUUUGUCGCGUCUGCUGUGAAAUCCCGAGGCUCAACCUCGGGCUUGCAGUGGGUACGGGCAGACUAGAGUGCGGUAGGGGAGACUGGAAUUCCUGGUGUAGCGGUGGAAUGCGCAGAUAUCAGGAGGAACACCGAUGGCGAAGGCAGGUCUCUGGGCCGCAACUGACGCUGAGGAGCGAAAGCAUGGGGAGCGAACAGG
rnacentral:rRNA from 1 species